GGUGCUCAGUGGUAGAGCACUUGCUUUGCAUGCAUGAGGUCCUGGGUUCGAUUCCUCAGCACCU
rnacentral:tRNA from 1 species